AUUGCUAGUAUGGUAGUCUUCUCAUCCAAGUCAUGAAUCUCCAACAUCUCUAUAUUGGAAGCAGUUGAUGAAACUCCCAAGGGAUUCAUUUUAUCUCUGCUUCACUAUAAACAAGCUCAUAGAGUCCUUAAGCCUCCAAUUACUCACAAAGUGCACCACAAAUUAUUGGCUAAGCAAAUCAAAGGAAUGAAUGGAUCCAAGCCAAAAACUAGAGAACCAUAGACAUCCCACUUUCCUCGGGGUGGCUAUAAAAUCUUGGCAUAACAUUGCAUCAGUCACCCCUUAU
rnacentral:lncRNA from 1 species